UCAGCUAGAUCAGCUGUUCCAUCUUAAUCAUAAAAUUCAAUUCAGGAUGAUUAAGAAGAAACAACUGAUUUUACUGAG
rfam:Ascaris suum AG00786, whole genome shotgun sequence.